CACUUCGUAAUUGCGACGUGACUUGUUUAAAGGGAAGUGCAAAAUUUGGAAGAAGGUCCACGUGCUAUUAUGUUGACGCAGAUAUUGUUCACCUUUAAACGGUAUGGUUUCUGACACCCCUAUGAGCUACUUGGCAAUGGACCCAUACAUUCAACUCUAUUUACCCUUCCUCCCAUCCAACCAUGGUCCACCACUCCUUUUUAUUUGUUCAUCUCUCUUUGUCUUUCAUUCAUUCCCUCUCCUCUUCUUCCCAUUAAUUCCCCUUCCAUCACAGAUUUUGAAACUUCAACAAAAAAAAAAACCCUACUUUUGUACUUCCC
rnacentral:lncRNA from 1 species